GACACGAUGGCCGAGUGGUCUAAGGCGGUAGAUUUAAGCCCUUUAAUCUGAUGUCUUGCUUGCAUUUCUGUUGUUGCUGUGUGCUCAAAUCUCUACUACGGAAACGUGCGUGGGUUCGAACCCCACUCGUGUCA